ACUCCUACGGGAGGCAGCAGUGGGGAAUAUUGGACAAUGGGCGCAAGCCUGAUCCAGCAAUACCGCGUGUGUGAAGAAGGCCUUCGGGUUGUAAAGCNCUUUCAAUAGGGAGGAAGGNUUAAUGGUUAAUACCCAUUNAGAUUGACGUUACCUACAGAANAAGCACCGGCUAACUCC
rnacentral:rRNA from 1 species